ensembl:lncRNA
GAUGUCUCCACUGCCCUAAGGGGUGUCUCCAACCAACGAUUCAAAUCAAACACCAGGAAAUAUAAAUAAUAGCCCAAGUGGUUCAUAUAAUAAAUGAGGGUCUUGCUAUGUAGCCCAGGCUGGCCUUGAACUCAUGGCAGUCCUCCUCCCUCAGCCUCACAAAUGCUGGGACUAGAGGCAUGUGCCACUAUGCCUGGCUCAGGACUUUAAACCAUGUGCACAUCACUUAAAAAACCAAACCAGCCAACCAAGCAAAGUUCUCAACUCUCUCCAUAAGAAGGUUGCUGCCCUCACUUUCUUGCAGCCUUGUGCUAAGGACCUUCCUGCUACAGAUGAGCCAGAUUUUCUUCUUCCUCCCAUGUUGCCACACAGCUCCAUGCCAGUCAACUGUCCUGUGAUAUUUCUGGAAAGGAGGAGACCUUUGCAUUUUAUAUCCCAUCCAGAACAGCAAGAUCUUUGCCUGGAAAAGACUGUUCAGUAGAGCUGAGGUUGCACUAAGCACACCCAGAA